rnacentral:rRNA from 1 species
UACGUAGGGGGCAAGCGUUGUCCGGAUUUAUUGGGCGUAAAGAGCGUGUAGGCGGCCGCACAGGUCCGUUGUGAAAACUGGAGGCUUAACCUUCAGACGUCGAUGGAAACCGUGCGGCUAGAGUCUGGAAGAGGAGAGUGGAAUUCCUGGUGUAGCGGUGAAAUGCGCAGAUAUCAGGAAGAACACCCGUGGCGAAGGCGGCUCUCUGGGACGGUACUGACGCUGAGACGCGAAAGCGUGGGGAGCGAACAGG